GACGAAGGUGGCAAGCGUUGCUCGGAAUCACUGGGCAUAAAGCGCGCGUAGGUGGCCUGGUAAGUCAGUGGUGAAAUCCCAUCGCUCACCGAUGGAACUGCCGCUGAUACUGUCGGGCUUGAGGACGGUAGGGGAGAGUGGAACUCCUGGUGUAGCGGUGAAAUGCGUAGAUAUUGGGAAGAACACCUGAGGCGAAGGCGGGUUGCUGGGCCGACACUGACGCUGAGGCGCGAAAGCCAGGGGAGCGAACGGG
rnacentral:rRNA from 1 species